rnacentral:rRNA from 1 species
GAUGAACGCUGGCGGCGUGCCUAAUACAUGCCAGUCGAGCGAACAGACGAGGAGCUUGCUCCUCCGACGUUAGCGGCGGACGGGUGAGUAACACGUAGGUAACCUACCUAUAAGACUGGGAUAACUUCGGGAAACCGGAGCUAAUACCGGAUAAUAUUUCGAACCGCAUGGUUCGAUAGUGAAAGAUGGCUUUGCUAUCACUUAUAGAUGGACCUGCGCCGUAUUAGCUAGUUGGUAAGGUAACGGCUUACCAAGGCAACGAUACGUAGCCGACCUGAGAGGGUGAUCGGCCACACUGGAACUGAGACACGGUCCAGACUCCUACGGGAGGCAGCAGUAGGGAAUCUUCCGCAAUGGGCGAAAGCCUGACGGAGCAACGCCGCGUGAGUGAUGAAGGUCUUCGGAUCGUAAAACUCUGUUAUUAGGGAAGAACAAACGUGUAAGUAACUGUGCACGUCUUGACGGUACCUAAUCAGAAAGCCACGGCUAACUACGUG